UUUUUCUUAAUGCCAAUUGCUUCGAUAAAUUCAAGCAAAACUUCAAUACGAGAGAUUCAAGUCUUUGGACGUCAGUUAUUCACCUGAGUUUUUUCAUAUGCGUGCAAAGGCUAGUUGUUAGUGUAUGAAUCACCUUCGUUGACUAUUUUGAUUUCUCUUGAACUUUCUUGAAGGAAAUUACUGAAAUUCACCACACGCCUCAAAGCCAUGGCCUCAUCUGCGGCUCUUAGUAAGAAGCAGUUUAAAAGGUAUAUGACCAAGAAAUCACACUCAUGCUGGUGGGAUAGUCACAUUUGUUCAAAAAGCUCAAAACGGUAUCGUCUUGCAGUGUUUGGAACUUUUCAGAAAGAAAGUUCAUGUUUUUCAUAAACUGGGUUUCAUAGCAUGAAUUGAGGAGAAAUCCUGAUUCUUCAUAAACAUAGUGUUGUAAAUUGUCUCUGUAUCUGUUAUCCAGGCUGGCUGGUUUGCUCAAUAACAGUUUACAACAGUACAGUAGGAUGAUCAUGAGAAACCAUGUGUAAAAGGUAAAUCAAUAAUCAAACUGCUUUCUGUAGAAGGAAACGUACGUAACUGCUAAACUUCGAGAGAAAUAGAUCGUGGUUACCCUUUUAAUUUAAUUAGAUAUAGUUAUAUAAUUAUCUGAAUAUUUUUUAAAUAGGUGUAAUUGCAAAAAAAAAAAAUAUUCCAAAAAGUUUUAGGGAUAAUUUUUUUUUUUGGUGUCAAAUUAUAAAGAUAAAUGUUAGCAAUGAUCCUAUUUAAAUAGAAUAGACGAAUGAAGACGAGCUUGGAGACGAGGUGGAGACGAAGAGAAUAACCGCAACAGAAGUGGCUGAACAGUAAAGAGAAGCGAUAAGGCAAUUGUGUGUAUCUCUUGACUAUUACAAAGAUGGGUAUGAGAGGCUUUAGAAGGUGUUGCAGGACAUAAGAGAGGAAUGGUCUUAGCAUCGUGAAGUCUGGCUAAUUAAUAGUAGUAUAAGAACACUGACUAUUUGUUUUUCCUUUGAUACUAAUGUGUUGUGUUCUUGUUAGUUGUUGUUGAAUCUAGACUGCAAAUGAAUACUGUAUGUUUAAAGAAGUAAAUCAGGACAAUUUUCCUUAACUUCAAACAAACAUGGUGUGUACUGUCCAACAAUUGUGUUGUGGUUGGACAAUUUUUCAUUUUCAUUUAGUUCAUCUGGCUACACUUUCUUUUUUUGGUUCGCUCCUCUAUCCUUAACUUUUGUUGUUUCUGUCAAUGAUUACACUACAUGUUCAUUAACAUUGUGGUUGAUAUUAUACAUAGUAACACAUGUUUGUAUAGAUCUCAUAAAGGGAACACUUACCAGAACUAUUGAAACUUAUUAAAAUAAGCCUAGUUCUGGCUAAUGCGCACAUGCUGCAAUGUGUCGGUGGGUCCAAGUAAGAAGGCCCAUUUUAAGAUCGUGGUUGUGCAAACGAGAAGGUGAUGUGGAAACUUAUGAUCCACUCAACUAAAUGAGAAGUAUAUUAUGGUAGACAAAUUUGGGGGUAAUGGUGGAUAUGGUGAGAGGUAGGUAACACCAUUUCUCCAUGUCGCUGUCUUUCGUGCUGGGCUUAUCUCUUUCCUUAUUUAAAUACGCCACAAACAAAUUACGUGACGACCUUAUGUGAUAGGCUAUCAUUUAUUUUUGAAGUCAAUAAAUGAACCAUUUCACAGAUGAUUGCCAAAUUGACUCUAUUGACAUUGACAUUGAACCAUUUCACGUGGAUGUGUAUUCGCCAAAUGUUUGAGCCUGUCUGUGCUUCGCGUUUAUUUUAACAACCACAACUUUGGGACAAACCAGUAUAAUAUGUCUUCUUAACGGCGUCAUCUGUGACGGCGUCUCGAGCUGUUCAGUUUCAAACCUACGCUCAGUCACUGUUUCACACUGUUUCUUUCUUUUUUUCUCGCCGUGACGGAUUUAAUUUCCUCAUGUGUUCAUUUCUGUGUUCUACUGACUUUUUCUUCUUGUUUGUACAUGGGUUUCUGUAACUUUGCAUUGCUCCCCAUUGGUCCAGCCGUCAAAUGCUAAUUGUUUUACUCUUUGUCAGUUUGUCUGAUAUAUUCAUAAUAUAAAAACGAUACUCCAGUAUAGUGUUACUAA